UGGUGGAGUGAUUUGUCUGGUUAAUUCCGAUAACGAACGAGACCUUAGUCUGCUAAAUAGUUGGACUCACUUUGGUGGGUUAUAACUUCUUAGAGAGACUUCUUACGCAUAGUGAGAGGAAGUUUGAGGCAAUAACA
rnacentral:rRNA from 1 species